UACGUAGGGGCAAGCGUUGUCCGGAAUUAUUGGGCGUAAAGAGCGUGUAGGCGGUCCGGUAAGUCGGCUGUGAAAGUCCAGGGCUCAACCCUGGGAUGCCGGUCGAUACUGCCGGACUAGAGUUCGGAAGAGGCGAGUGGAAUUCCCGGUGUAGCGGUGAAAUGCGCAGAUAUCGGGAGGAACACCUAUGGCGAAGGCAGCUCGCUGGGACGUUACUGACGCUGAGAACGCGAAAGCGUGGGGAGCAAACAGG
rnacentral:rRNA from 1 species